UCCCUGGUGGCUCAGAUGGUAAAGUGUCUGUCUACAAUGCAGGAGACCCAGGUUCGAUCCCUGGGUUGGGAA
rnacentral:tRNA from 1 species